rnacentral:rRNA from 1 species
UAAGCGACUAAGCGUACACGGUGGAUGCCCUGGCAGUCAGAGGCGAUGAAGGACGUGCUAAUCUGCGAUAAGCGUCGGUAAGGUGAUAUGAACCGUUAUAACCGGCGAUUUCCGAAUGGGGAAACCCAGUGUGAUUCGUCACACUAUCAUUAACUGAAUCCAUAGGUUAAUGAGGCGAACCGGGGGAACUGAAACAUCUAAGUACCCCGAGGAAAAGAAAUCAACCGAGAUUCCCCCAGUAGCGGCGAGCGAACGGGGAGCAGCCCAGAGCCUGAAUCAGUGUGUGUGUUAGUGGAAGCGUCUGGAAAGGCGCGCGAUACAGGGUGACAGCCCCGUACACAAAAAUGCACAUGCUGUGAGCUCGAUGAGUAGGGCGGGACACGUGGUAUCCUGUCUGAAUAUGGGGGGACCAUCCUCCAAGGCUAAAUACUCCUGACUGACCGAUAGUGAACCAGUACCGUGAGGGAAAGGCGAAAAGAACCCCGGCGAGGGGAGUGAAAAAGAACCUGAAACCGUGUACGUACAAGCAGUGGGAGCACAGAGCAAUCUGUGUGACUGCGUACCUUUUGUAUAAUGGGUCAGCGACUUAUAUUCUGUAGCAAGGUUAACCGAAUAGGGGAGCCGAAGGGAAACCGAGUCUUAACUGGGCGUUAAGUUGCAGGGUAUAGACCCGAAACCCGGUGAUCUAGCCAUGGGCAGGUUGAAGGUUGGGUAACACUAACUGGAGGACCGAACCGACUAAUGUUGAAAAAUUAGCGGAUGACUUGUGGCUGGGGGUGAAAGGCCAAUCAAACCGGGAGAUAGCUGGUUCUCCCCGAAAGCUAUUUAGGUAGCGCCUCGUGAAUUCAUCUCCGGGGGUAGAGCACUGUUUCGGCAAGGGGGUCAUCCCGACUUACCAACCCGAUGCAAACUGCGAAUACCGGAGAAUGUUAUCACGGGAGACACACGGCGGGUGCUAACGUCCGUCGUGAAGAGGGAAACAACCCAGACCGCCAGCUAAGGUCCCAAAGUCAUGGUUAAGUGGGAAACGAUGUGGGAAGGCCCAGACAGCCAGGAUGUUGGCUUAGAAGCAGCCAUCAUUUAAAGAAAGCGUAAUAGCUCACUGGUCGAGUCGGCCUGCGCGGAAGAUGUAACGGGGCUAAACCAUGCACCGAAGCUGCGGCAGCGACGCUUAUGCGUUGUUGGGUAGGGGAGCGUUCUGUAAGCCUGCGAAGGUGUGCUGUGAGGCAUGCUGGAGGUAUCAGAAGUGCGAAUGCUGACAUAAGUAACGAUAAAGCGGGUGAAAAGCCCGCUCGCCGGAAGACCAAGGGUUCCUGUCCAACGUUAAUCGGGGCAGGGUGAGUCGACCCCUAAGGCGAGGCCGAAAGGCGUAGUCGAUGGGAAACAGGUUAAUAUUCCUGUACUUGGUGUUACUGCGAAGGGGGGACGGAGAAGGCUAUGUUGGCCGGGCGACGGUUGUCCCGGUUUAAGCGUGUAGGCUGGUUUUCCAGGCAAAUCCGGAAAAUCAAGGCUGAGGCGUGAUGACGAGGCACUACGGUGCUGAAGCAACAAAUGCCCUGCUUCCAGGAAAAGCCUCUAAGCAUCAGGUAACAUCAAAUCGUACCCCAAACCGACACAGGUGGUCAGGUAGAGAAUACCAAGGCGCUUGAGAGAACUCGGGUGAAGGAACUAGGCAAAAUGGUGCCGUAACUUCGGGAGAAGGCACGCUGAUAUGUAGGUGAAGUCCCUCGCGGAUGGAGCUGAAAUCAGUCGAAGAUACCAGCUGGCUGCAACUGUUUAUUAAAAACACAGCACUGUGCAAACACGAAAGUGGACGUAUACGGUGUGACGCCUGCCCGGUGCCGGAAGGUUAAUUGAUGGGGUCAGCGCAAGCGAAGCUCUUGAUCGAAGCCCCGGUAAACGGCGGCCGUAACUAUAACGGUCCUAAGGUAGCGAAAUUCCUUGUCGGGUAAGUUCCGACCUGCACGAAUGGCGUAAUGAUGGCCAGGCUGUCUCCACCCGAGACUCAGUGAAAUUGAACUCGCUGUGAAGAUGCAGUGUACCCGCGGCAAGACGGAAAGACCCCGUGAACCUUUACUAUAGCUUGACACUGAACAUUGAGCCUUGAUGUGUAGGAUAGGUGGGAGGCUUUGAAGUGUGGACGCCAGUCUGCAUGGAGCCGGCCUUGAAAUACCACCCUUUAAUGUUUGAUGUUCUAACGUUGACCCGUGAUCCGGGUUGCGGACAGUGUCUGGUGGGUAGUUUGACUGGGGCGGUCUCCUCCUAAAGAGUAACGGAGGAGCACGAAGGUUGGCUAAUCCUGGUCGGACAUCAGGAGGUUAGUGCAAUGGCAUAAGCCAGCUUGACUGCGAGCGUGACGGCGCGAGCAGGUGCGAAAGCAGGUCAUAGUGAUCCGGUGGUUCUGAAUGGAAGGGCCAUCGCUCAACGGAUAAAAGGUACUCCGGGGAUAACAGGCUGAUACCGCCCAAGAGUUCAUAUCGACGGCGGUGUUUGGCACCUCGAUGUCGGCUCAUCACAUCCUGGGGCUGAAGUAGGUCCCAAGGGUAUGGCUGUUCGCCAUUUAAAGUGGUACGCGAGCUGGGUUUAGAACGUCGUGAGACAGUUCGGUCCCUAUCUGCCGUGGGCGCUGGAGAACUGAGGGGGGCUGCCCCUAGUACGAGAGGACCGGAGUGGACGCAUCACUGGUGUUCGGGUUGUCAUGCCAAUGGCACUGCCCGGUAGCUAAAUGCGGAAGAGAUAAGUGCUGAAAGCAUCUAAGCACGAAACUUGCCCCGAGAUGAGUUCUCCCUGACUCCUUGAGAGUCCUGAAGGAACGUUGAAGACGACGACGUUGAUAGGCCGGGUGUGUAAGCGCAGCGAUGCGUUGAGCUAACCGGUACUAAUGAACCGUGAGGCUUAACCU